rnacentral:rRNA from 1 species
AGACGGGACCCGCACAAGCGGUGGAUGAUGUGGAUUAAUUCGAUGCAACGCGAAAACCUUUACCUACCUUGACAUCGUCCGGAAUCCCGAAGAGAUUUGGGAGUGCUCGCAAGAGAGCCGGAACACAGGUGCUGCAUGGCUGUCGUCAGCUCGUGUCGUGAGAUGUUGGGUUAAGUCCCGCAACGAGCGCAACCCUUGUCAUUAGUUGCCAUCAUUUGGUUGGGCACUCUAAUGAGACUGCCGGUGACAAACCGGAGGAAGGUGGGGAUGACGUCAAGUCCUCAUGGCCCUUAUGGGUAGGGCUUCACACGUCAUACAAUGGUCGGUACAGAGGGUUGCCAACCCGCGAGGGGGAGCUAAUCCCACAAAGCCGAUCGUAGUCCGGAUCGCAGUCUGCAACUCGACUGCGUGAAGUCGGAAUCGCUAGUAAUCGUGGAUCAGCAUGUCACGGUGAAUACGUUCCCGGGUCUU